rnacentral:rRNA from 1 species
CGAACGGGUGGAGUAACACGUGGGCAACCUGCCCAAAAGAGGGGGAGUAACACUUGGAAACAGGUGCUAAUACCGCAUAACCAUAGUUACCGCAUGGUAGCUAUGUAAAAGGUGGCUAUGCUACCGCUUUUGGAUGGGCCCGCGGCGCAUUAGCUAGUUGGUGGGGUAAAGGCUUACCAAGGCAAUGAUGCGUAGCCGAACUGAGAGGUUGAUCGGCCACAUUGGGACUGAGACACGGCCCAAACUCCUACGGGAGGCAGCAG